UCAGAUAUGGUGUAAUGGGAACACAGCCCGUUAACAUUCCAAAGUGGCCAUCUUGUGAGGGGCAGUCCAUGGUUCAAAGCCCUGUGUCUGAA